rnacentral:rRNA from 1 species
UACAGAGGUGGCAAGCGUUGUUCGGAAUCACUGGGCUUAAAGGGCGCGUAGGCGGUCUGCCAAGUCAGGGGUGAAAUCCCUCGGCUUAACCGGGGAACUGCGUCUGAUACUGGAUGGCUUGAGGUUGGGAGAGGGAUGCGGAAUUCCAGGUGUAGCGGUGAAAUGCGUAGAUAUCUGGAAGAACACCGGUGGCGAAGGCGGCUCACUGGCUCGUAUCUGACGCUCAGGCGCGACAGCGUGGGGAUCGAAACAGG